GGCCAGCCACCGAGGAGCACCGAGCGCGCACGACGAUCGCCGACCGGACCGAAUAAAAGCCGCAGUCCGCGCCGCAUCAGAUGACUUAGCUAGCGACUGCCUUAGCGAUAGGUACACCUUCUGUCCUUUGGCGAGUCAUAAUGAGUCUGGAGUUCGAUAGCCCACUUGCAGUCUUCUCCCAGACUUACCUAGGUCCCUUGGCGAUAGGUUCAUAGACUGUCCCUUGGUAUUUUUACAUUGUGAGUUGUCACGCUCAACAAUGACAACUACCCACUCUUUUAAAGAAGAAGUUGCAUCUACCCUACAUUAUUUUUCUAAAGUACCCUACGUGUAAAAUGGGACUGUACGAAAUAAAUAAGGAGGCAAACGACGAAUCAUCUAAAGAAGGUAGUAACAACACAACUUGAAGACAAAGUAGCAACAGAAGAAUCCACAGUCACACCAAUACAGUUGAUGUAUGCUAUCAGACCAGCUUCACUCCAGGGGGAGGGUUCCGUCGAACACCCUCUCAGGCAGUAUUUGUAAGAUAGUGCCAACUUGGCGAAACUGAAGGAGACAUCGUUCUACACAAGUCCUGUCUUGGUACUCUCUCUUCAGACAUACGUGUGCCAGAGGUAGAGAAUAUAACAAUCCAGAUCCUGGUACUCUCACGGGACGUCAUCGAGCACCAGAGGGGGAGAAUGUAACAAUGCUGAUCCUGGUACUCUCACGGGACGUCAUCGAGCACCUGAGGGAGAGAAUGUAACAAUACUGAUCCUGGUACUCUCACGGGACGUCAUCGAGCAUCAGAGGGAGAGAAUGUAACAAUACUGAUCCUGGUACUCUCACGGGACGUUACCGAGUACCAGAGGGGGAGAAUGUAACAAUACUAAGUCUCACGACGCGCGGGCUCGAAUACUUUCUCGCUCGCACAGUACUGCGUCACACCGGCCAGCCACCGAGGAGCACCGAGCGCGCACGACGAUCGCCGACCGGACCGAAUAAAAGCCGCAGUCCGCGCCGCAUCAGAUGACUUAGCUAGCGACUGCCUUAGCGAUAGGUACACCUCUGUCCUUUGGCUAGUCUCAAUGGGUCGGGAGUUCGAUAGCCACUUGCAGUCUUCUCCCAGACCUCCUUAGGUUUAGCUAGUGCCUUGGCGAUAGGUUCCCGACUGUCCCUUGGCAAUUUGCAUCGGUAGCAGGCGUGCUCAAUCUUGCCGUCUGUUAUUCGAUAUUACGUAGAUAGGAAGUAACCAGUUUUGUAUGAACCCAUAAAUGUAUGCACCUAUAUGUAUAAGUUUUCAUAGUCAAUAAAAGUAUCGUUGACAUUGGCGUUUGAGUGAAACUCCCACCUACCCUACACAAGGAAUAAUGACCACAUAUAUCUAAACAUUUACAGUGAAAAUGAACGCAAAGUAUAUAAAAUAACCUUACCUAUUUUCUAUUAUUUUCAUCUGGAAAAGUCGGGCAAUAAUCCAUAAACUAACACAUUUCGCAUUAUGCCACACUCCUAGAGUCUGUAAUUACUUUCUGAUCUAAAAUUCCAUAAUUUUAUCAUCUUUUCACAAGUAAAACUUUUCUUGUUUGAUAACAAACUUGUCUAAAUUGUUCUCGCCGGACCGCUCAAGCAAGCGAUAGAGACGUCAAAGUCUAACCAAAAUAUUGCUACGGUACAAAUUCCAUGUAAUUUCUUUUUGUUCUUCUACUAACUUCAUCUCUACGCUGAUACAAAUAAAGUCUAUUUUCUACUGCAAUUUAUUCUGCUUAAAAUUGGUUCAUUGACGUUUUUAGCAUAACCUUAGUUGUCUGUGGAAUGAAACUGUCAACAAAGAUGCGUUCAGAAACUAUUUAGGUUCUUCUUUAAUGAAAUUACUCCUAUUAUUGGAAAAAUUCUUUAAACUUUCCCAUAAUAAAAAAAAUAUGGAAUUAUGUCUUUCCCUUUCUUUUUUUUUUUUCUUUAAAUAUAACAUAUUAUUUACUCUAUUUUAUAGUUUUGCGAAUAACUACAAUAUACUUUUAUUUAUAACUUCUGGAUAUAUUCCCUUCCCCUUUCACCCCGCUAAUUUCUUCCGCCCAACUGUCCAUUUCAAAACGAUUGACCUCUAAGACUAAAUCAGUUACUGUGUCAAAAUUUUAUCAAUACAAUGGUGAGUUAAUUUCCUAAAUUGAUGUUAUUACCCUUCCUUUUACUCUUAGUUUAGUGUUUUAUUUAUUUACCCAUUGUUUUCGUUUUUGUGUUUUUUCCUAGGCAACUCAAGAAUUUAAAGUUUGUGGCACACAAACUGAUAACAACUUUAAUGUGGGAACCCGAACAGUUCCCACCUUAUAUUUCCCAGCGCCUACAACAGUCGAUGUGGGAACACAAACCGAACCCACUCCAUGCUGCCAAGACUUCUAUAUCACCCGUGCGCCUCCAUACUUCUCUCCAUCCAGUUCUGAAUCUGACAUUAACGCUAACAUAGCUUCUUAUAGUCCAAUUUCUAAUCCAGAGUCCCCUCCAAGUCCAAUGAACAUUUCCACUUAUUCCAUCUCGUCAGAAGAUGAUGUAAAUGCAUAAAGCACGCUUCACACUUCUCACCAUACAAUUAUUGCACCAUUUAAUAUGUAACCAUUUUUAUUAAACUAAUUUUAACUUUCCCUCUCUUUUUUUUCUAAUUUUAUUUC